rnacentral:rRNA from 1 species
UACGUAGGGUCCGAGCGUUGUCCGGAAUUAUUGGGCGUAAAGGGCUCGUAGGCGGUCUGUUGCGUCGGGAGUGAAAACUUACAGCUUAACUGUGAGCGUGCUUUCGAUACGGGCAGACUUGAGGCAUUCAGGGGAGAACGGAAUUCCUGGUGUAGCGGUGAAAUGCGCAGAUAUCAGGAGGAACACCGGUGGCGAAGGCGGAUCUCUGGGCCUUGCCUGACGCUGAGGCGCGAAAGCUAGGGGAGCGAACAGG